UUAACUUAUUGUGUUUUACUCAGAGAUGCCACUAGAGAUACAGAAGGGUUUGGUACCUCCGGCGGGCGCCCGGCCCCGCCCCGGGGGGCGGGUCCGGCCUGCGGCCCCGGUGAGGGGGCCGCCCGCCGAAGCAACGAUAUGGACGGGUUCGCGAUGGUUUGAAGCGGCCUUUCGGCGCCUUGUAAUGAUCCCUCCGCUGGUUCACCAACGGAGA
rnacentral:misc_RNA from 1 species